rnacentral:rRNA from 1 species
AGCGAACGCUGGCGGCAGGCCUAACACAUGCAAGUCGAGCGCCGUAGCAAUACGGAGCGGCAGACGGGAGAGUAACACGUGGGAACGUACCCUUUGGUUCGGAACAACCCAGGGAAACUUGGGCUAAUACCGGAUAAGCCCUUACGGGGAAAGAUUUAUCGCCGAAGGAUCGGCCCGCGCCUGAUUAGCUAGUUGGUGGGGUAACGGCUCACCAAGGCGACGAUCAGUAGCUGGUCUGAGAGGAUGAUCAGCCUCACUGGGACUGAGACACGGCCCAGACUCCUACGGGAGGCAGCAGUGGGGAAUAUUGGACAAUGGGCGCAAGCCUGAUCCAGCCAUGCCGCGUGGGUGAUGAAGGCCCUAGGGUUGUAAAGCCCUUUCGGCGGGGAAGAUAAUGACGGUACCCGCAGAAGAAGCCCCGGCUAACUUCGUGCCAGCAGCCGCUGUAACAC